CCCUUCUUAGCUCAGUUGGAAGAGCGUCAGACUGUAAAUCUGAAUGUCGCCCGUUCGAACCGGGCAGAAGGGA
rnacentral:tRNA from 1 species